UACAGAGGUCCCAAGCGUUGUUCGGAUUUACUGGGCGUAAAGGGUGCGUAGGCGGCUGCGCAAGUCGGGUGUGAAACCCCGGGGCUCAACCCCGUGCCUGCUUCCGAUGCGGGCAGACUAGAGGUAUGCAGGGGAGAACGGAAUUCCUGGUGUAGCGGUGAAAUGCGCAGAUAUCAGGAGGAACACCGGUGGCGAAGGCGGUUCUCUGGGCAUUACCUGACGCUGAGGAGCGAAAGUGUGGGGAGCGAACAGG
rnacentral:rRNA from 1 species